GGGAAAUAAUACAGGCAGAGCUGCGGGAAAAACGGACACCUAAUCCACAUGCGCGAAGCCGACCAGCUGGGCUAGAACAAUUAGCCAUCAAGUCACUCACCAGGGAUGGAUGAGAGAGUCUACCCCAGCCAGAGGGAAUGCCCCACAUCUGCAACCCAAUCCACCUGUCACUGAAUUCUGUAAUCUCCGUCUUUAUGUGCAUUGUGUAUGUAUCCUUUAUUUAAAGGAACACUAUAGCGUUAGGAAUACAAAUAUGUAUUCCUGAUGCUAUAGAGUCCUAGUCACCAUUUGGGUGACUAGGGCCCCGUUCCACAGAGAAUAAAUGGUUAACCAUUAAUUUGUUUACCUUAAUCCAGCGCUGGGCUCCCUCAGCACUGGUGACCUCUCCUCCUCCUCCAUCGACGUCAACUCCUGAGUGGAGCCAAAUGUGCAUGCGCGGAAAGAGGCGCGCACGAAUUUAAACCCGCCCACAGGAAAGCAUUACUCAGUGCUCUCCUACGGGGAUCUUUUUUUUUACGCUGGAGGUCUGUCAGGACGUCCAGCGUCAAAUAUUUGUGAUUUACUCAGUAUAAAUCGCGGAAGCGCCUCUAGUGACUGUCAGUGAGACAGCCACUAGAGGCUGGAUUAACCCUUAAUGUGAGAAACUGCUAUGUUUUCAGCUGCAAGGUUAAAACUAGGGGGACCUGGCACCCAGACCACUUCAUUGAGGGAUCGAUGAGAGACUGCACCCCAACCGGAGGGACUUCCCCACAUCUGCAACCCAAUCCAUCUGUCACUGAAUUAUGUAAUCUCUGUCUUUAUUUGCAUUAUGUAUGUAUUGUACUCUCAAUUCUUCUAUUUAACCUCUUAAGGACGGAGCCAAAUGUACACGUUGUGAACAAAACAAAAUGUAAACAAAACCUGGCAUUUGCGCUACAUGUCUGUCCAACCGUAAUACACCUCUUUCAUAGUAAAUGCACC